ACACACACACACACACACACACACACAGACCUCCUUCUCUCUCUCUCCCCCUCAGAGUGGCCCAGCCAUGGCCUGGGCCUUCAAUGAGAGCAGAGGGAGGAGACACACUGAACUUCCUCAGUCUCAACUCUGAGCUGAAUGGUCUCUAUGUCUGUGAGGCCUCCAACCCUACGGACGAGCAACAGGCUCCUUCUAUGUACACACAUCCUCUGAGACCUCUGCUGCCUGUUGGGUUCUACUCGUUGUCAUUCUCUGUCUGAUUGUUGCUGCGGCUGCACUCAUAUGGUACCAGUGCAAAUACGGACAGUUUCCUUGGUAAUAUCAACUACUGUAAUAUUAUGAACUUAAUUUUGCAUUUAAAAAUAAAUUAAUUGCCAUUAGAUGAUCAUAUAUUGAUUUGGCUCAAGUUCAUAUAAUAUUGUUUGGGGGGAGUUCAAUGACAGGAGUUCAAUCAUGGCCAAUCACCAGUUCCAGGCACCACCACAGGUUGAGGAAGAUGAACCUGGGACUUCUGGGUUCUGACACGCCAAACCAGGAAGGCGGAUAAGGAACAAGUAGUUUGAUGACAGACUGAGAGCAGAUGCCAGUAGAAUCUCAGACAUGCACUGGGUGUGGGAAGAAUUCCAGUCGGCACAUUCUCCAAUUCUCCAACCAUCUAAUGAACAGAGACUCUAUGCAGUAUUCACUGUGACAUUAGAAACCUCGGCUCGGCCACUCCUCCACCACAGCUUUACAUAGUGCUGGCAGUCUUUUCAGUUUUUUAUCACCUCUCCUGGAC